rnacentral:rRNA from 1 species
AUUGAACGCUGGCGGCAUGCUUUACACAUGCAAGUCGGACGGCAGCACAGAGAAGCUUGCUACUUGGGUGGCGAGUGGCGAACGGGUGAGUAAUAUAUCGGAACGUGCCGAGUAAUGGGGGAUAACUAAUCGAAAGAUUAGCUAAUACCGCAUAUUCUCUGAGGAGGAAAGCAGGGGACCUUAGGGCCUUGCGUUAUUCGAGCGGCCGAUAUCUGAUUAGCUAGUUGGUGGGGUAAAGGCCCACCAAGGCGACGAUCAGUAGCUGGUCUGAGAGGAUGAUCCGCCACACUGGGACUGAGACACGGCCCAGACUCCUACGGGAGGCAGCAGUGGGGAAUUUUGGACAAUGGGCGCAAGCCUGAUCCAGCCAUGCCGCGUGUCUGAAGAAGGCCUUCGGGUUGUAAAGGACUUUUGUCAGGGAAGAAAAGGCUGUUGCUAAUACCGACAGCUGAUGACGGUACCUGAAGAAUAAGCACCGGCUAACUACGUG